UACGGGGGGGGCAAGCGUUGUUCGGAAUUACUGGGCGUAAAGGGCUCGUAGGUGGCCAACUAAGUCGGACGUGAAAUCCCUCAGCUUAACUGGGGAACUGCGUCCGAUACUGGAUGGCUUGAGUUUGGGAGAGGGAUGCGGAAUUCCAGGUGUAGCGGUGAAAUGCGCAGAUAUCGGGAGGAACACCAAUGGCGAAGGCAGCUCGCUGGGACGGUACUGACGCUGAGGCGCGAAAGCGUGGGGAGCAACAGG
rnacentral:rRNA from 1 species